AAUAGACUUGAUUUCAAAGUUUUAAAUUUAUUUUGUUCUGAAAUAAGGAAUUUGGUGUUUUCUCUUUUUUUAAUGUAGGGAAAUUCCUGAAGUUGUGAAAAAUUGCAAGUUGAGAGUUGCACCUGCCACUGUUUUUGAAGGACUCAUGUUACUUUCUGACACUUCACAACUAUUUGAAGAUUAAAUUUGUGAAAGCAUUAGGAAAUGAUAAUGUAAUAAACCAUAUGAUGAUGAUCUUGAGAGACCACAGGUCAUUGUGGAUUGAGCCAAGUUUCCCAAAAUGUGUUCUUUGGAUCAUUGAUCCUGAAAGGAAUCCCUGUGUGUUGCCAAAUUAAAGUGAAAAUGGGAGCCCAGGAGCUGGAUAUCAACAUGGAUGAUGGCAUGCUAGAGGGUCUGAGUGCAGUGACCAGAUUUUGCAACUUAAUAUCUUCUGAACUGGACAUUGUCAAGUUUGAUAUGGACAUGGGGACAGUGACUGCGGGAAACCUCCCAGUAUAUGAUGAUAUCCACAAGAAAGUUCUCCAGCUCUAUGAAGACCUCAUCUGGAAUCAAGACCCUGAGGCCACUGAGUAGC